rnacentral:rRNA from 1 species
CCUACGGGUGGCAGCAGUGAGGAAUAUUGGUCAAUGGGCGCGAGACUGAACCAGCCAAGUCGCGUGAGGGAGGACGGCCCUACGGGUUGUAAACCUCUGUUGCCGGGGAGCAACGGGCGCCACGUGUGGCGUCACUGAGAGUACCCGGAGAAAAAGCAUCGGCUAACUCGGGCCCAGCAGCCGAGGUAAUAGGAAGGAGGCGAGCUUUAUCCGGAUUAAUUGGGUUUACAGGGUGCGUAGGCGAAUGGUUAAGUCAGUGGUCAAAUUGAGGGGCUCAACCCCUUCCCGCCAUUGAAACUGGCGUUCUUGAGUGGAAGAGAAGUAUGCGGAAUGCGUGGUGUAGCGGUGAAAUGCAUAGAUAUCACGCAGAACCCCGAUUGCGAAGGCAGCAUGCCGGCUUCCGACUGACGCUGAAGCACGAAAGCGUGGGGAUCGAACAGGAUUAGAUACCCUGGUAGUC